rnacentral:rRNA from 1 species
CGAUGAUUAAGAGCUUGCUCUUAUGAUUAUGGCGGACGGGUGAGUAACGUAUAGGGAUCUGCCUGUUAUGGGGGACAACAGCCGGAAACGGCUGCUAAUACCGCAACGCUCUACGGAGGAAAGUGGGGGCUCUUCGGACCUCACGCUAACAGAUGAACCUAUAUCANAUUAGCUAGUUGGUGGGGUAAAGGCCUACCAAGGCGACNAUCUGUAGCUGGUUUGAGAGAAUGAUCAGCCACACUGGGACUGANACACGGCCCAGACUCCUACNGGAGGCAGCAGUGGGGAAUAUUGGACAAUGGGGGCAACCCUGAUCCACAAUGCCGCGUGUGUGAAGAAGGCCUUCGGUUGUAAAGCACUUUAAGUUGGGAGGAAAAGCUGCUUGUUAAUANCGAGUAUGUUGACUUACCAACAGAAUAAGCACCGGCUAACUCCGUGCCAGCACCGCGGUAAUACGGAGGGUGCAAGCGUUAAUCGGAAUUACUGGGCGUAAAGCGCGCGUANGCGGUUUGUUAAGUCAGAUGUGAAAUCCCCGGGCUCAACCUGGAAUGGCAUUUGAACUGGCGGCUANAGUGUGGUAAGGUGAGUGGAAUUUCAGUGUAGCGGUGAAAUGCUAAGAUCUGAAGGAACAUCAUGGCAGCGACUCACUGGCCAUUACUGACGCUGAGUGCGAAAGCGUGGGUAGCAAACAGAUUAAUAUGUAGUCCACGCCCUAACGAUGUCACUUGUAUGGAGAAUUUAUUCUUUGUGUAUCAAGCUAACGCGAUAAGUUGACCGCCUGGGGAGUACGGUCGCAAGAUAAAACUCAAAUGAAUUGACGGGGGCCCGCACAAGCGGUGGACAUGUGGUUUAAUUCGAUG